rnacentral:rRNA from 1 species
AGCGAAUCCCAAAAAUAACGUCUCAGUUCGGAUUGUAGUCUGCAACUCGACUACAUGAAGCUGGAAUCGCUAGUAAUCGCGAAUCAGAAUGUCGCGGUGAAUACGUUCCCGGGUCUUGUACACACCGCCCGUCACACCAUGGGAGUUGGUAACGCCCGAAGCCAGUGACCUAACCGAAAGGGAGGAGCUGUCGAAGGCGGGACCGAUAACUGGGGUGAAGUCGUAACAAGGUAGC